UUUUGAGCAAUGGGGGGACGCAGGAGGAUAGGGUAAGCGCGGUAUUGGAUAUCCGCGUCCAAGCAGUUAGGCUGGGAAAUAGGCAAAUCCGUUUCCCAUAAGGCUGAGCUGUGAUGGCGAGCGAAAUAUAGUAGCGAAGUUCCUGAUUCCACACUGCCAAGAAAAGCCUCUAGCGAGGUGAGAGGUGCCCGUACCGCAAACCGACACAGGUAGGCGAGGAGAGAAUCCUAAGGUGAUCGAGAGAACUCUCGUUAAGGAACUCGGCAAAAUGACCCCGUAACUUCGGGAGAAGGGGUGCUCUGUUAGGGUGCAAGCCCGAGAGAGCCGCAGUGAAUAGGCCCAGGCGACUGUUUAGCAAAAACACAGGUCUCUGCGAAGCCGUAAGGCGAAGUAUAGGGGCUGACGCCUGCCCGGUGCUGGAAGGUUAAGAGGAGCGCUUAGCGUAAGCGAAGGUGCGAAUUGAAGCCCCAGUAAACGGCGGCCGUAACGAUAACGGUCCUAAGGUAGCGAAAUUCCUUGUCGGGUAAGUUCCGACCCGCACGAAAGGCGCAACGAUCUGGGCACUGUCUCAACGAGAGACUCGGUGAAAUUAUAGUACCUGUGAAGAUGCAGGUUACCCGCGACAGGACGGAAAGACCCCGUGGAGCUUUACUGCAGCCUGAUAUUGAAUGUUGGUACAGCUUGUACAGGAUAGGUAGGAGCCUUGGAAACCGGAGCGCCAGCUUCGGUGGAGGCAUCGGUGGGAUACUACCCUGGCUGUAUUGACCUUAUAACCCGCCGCCCUUAUCGGGCGGGGAGACAGUGUCAGGUGGGCAGUUUGACUGGGGCGGUCGCCUCCUAAAAGGUAACGGAGGCGCCCAAAGGUUCCCUCAGAAUGGUUGGAAAUCAUUCGCAGAGUGUAAAGGCACAAGGGAGCUUGACUGCGAGACCUACAAGUCGAGCAGGGACGAAAGUCGGGCUUAGUGAUCCGGUGGUUCCGCAUGGAAGGGCCAUCGCUCAACGGAUAAAGGCUACCCCGGGGAUAACAGGCUUAUCUCCCCCAAGAGUCCGCAUCGACGGGGAGGUUUGGCACCUCGAUGUCGGCUCAUCGCAUCCUGGGGCUGUAGUCGGUCCCAAGGGUUGGGCUGUUCGCCCAUUAAAGCGGUACGCGAGCUGGGUUCAGAACGUCGUGAGACAGUUCGGUCCCUAUCCGUCGCGGGCGCAGGAAAUUUGAGAGGAGCUGUCCUUAGUACGAGAGGACCGGGAUGGACGCACCGCUGGUGUACCAGUUGUUCUGCCAAGGGCAUCGCUGGGUAGCUAUGUGCGGACGGGAUAAGUGCUGAAAGCAUCUAAGCAUGAAGCCCCCCUCAAGAUGAGAUUUCCCAUUCCGCAAGGAAGUAAGAUCCCUGAAAGAUGAUCAGGUUGAUGGGUCUGAGGUGGAAGUGUGGCGACACAUGGAGCUGACAGAUACUAUCGAUCGAGGACUUAA
rnacentral:rRNA from 1 species